GUAGAGCAGCGCCUUGUUCUCCCCGCACUCCACCUCGAUGCAAGGCUCUCCGUUGUCAAAGAAGGGCUGGAAAUCCGGGAUGGAGGAAAACCUCUCCAGCAUCAGGGGGAGGCGGUGGCAAGCUGAACUUGCCUUCCAGACAGCGAAACGCGGGCUUGCUGUUGCGACAAUUGGCCAGUGAGAGAGUUCGCAGGGUAGUUUCUGAGCAGUAACAGCCCCUGCCACUUCAGCACCAGCUCUCAGAUGAUCUCGGAGCAUUCACAGACAAGGACAAACACCACCUCCUUGCACCUUCUCAAGGAAGCUGCUUUUAGCUUCGUUUUACUGGUGGAGAAGCCGAAGCGUAAAGAGUCUGAGAUGGCGAACACGAGCGCUGUACUCUCGCUGGGGUUACGCAGCUACUCCGUCCCACUGCGAGUGAAUACAGGCCAAUACAGGUGAUGAGUUCACCCUUAUGCACCAGAUGACUUGCCCAAGAUCUUACAGGUGUUAUUUUCUGCCCCCCCGAGCUCUCAGAUGACAGGUACCCCUUUCUACAAAAAGUCCACUAAUGGACCACUUGUGGGAGAAGCUAUCGCUUCCUACCUGUAAAGGAGGAGGAAACUGCCUCUCUGGGGUUCAGCAGAUGUGGGAAUGGAACCUAAGCCCUGAACCUCAAUUUUCUCUUGACGCUACUUGAUCAUGAUCCUUGUUUCUUGCCUAUUUAUUCUCAAGAAAUGCAAGCUCUGGGAGCCAUCCUUGCUUCUUGCUCUAAUGAAGGAGGCAGAUAUACAUACCCAUCAAACCCUCUCAUUUAGGCUUUCAGGCUUAGGCUCUUAUUCUUAAUGCUUCUGAUUGCUCAAGAUGACAGGGGAAAAAUCACUUUCUAUUAUCACCUAAUGAACCAAGGAAAAUGCUUGGAAGAGGCUCUGGGAGACACAGGCAUUCUCUGUGAAAGCAUAUAAGAGGAUUCUGGAUGGAGGUCAGGUGAGAAGGCCAUACAGUGAGAAGAACUGCUCGCUCUUAACGCUCCCAGAAAACCUUCGUGCCUGGCAUACCUAGAACUGCACUGAGCUCUGAAAAAGCUUGAGAACUACUUCAGCCUUCCUUUGACUCCAUCUUCUUUAUAAUUUGGCUUCAUGGGACUGAUUUCACUUUUUUACAGGGGAGUGGGAAUUUUUUUCUCAAAGCCCUCUUUCUUUUUUACAGCCAUAAGGGUUACUAUUCUUCUUCCACCUCUAUUCUUAAUCGCAACUUCACCUCCAAAUGUAGAGAGAGCUUGGCCACAACCUUCUCCAAAGACAAGUCUCCAGGAGGGGUCACAGGAGAGCAGAACAAGAAUGGCCUUCAUCCUCCAGGAACAAAUCCUUUUGCAGUACUCACUUCUAGACUUCUCAGAUCUCUGUGGUUUGGAUACAUGCUCCACUCUCCUAGCAGCACCUUGCAUUAUCAUCCAGCCUUCCCCCCCCAAUUAAACAGCUGUAAUGAGACCUUCUAUGUUAUUUACCUUUUACUUAUUUACUUUUAUUUACCUUUUAUUUUAAAGGAAAAGGUAACUUGCCAUGGGAUUUUCCCACUGCAUGUCAGCUCAGUUGCUUUUUGCCUCUAAAGAAUGGCUCAAAUCUGGACCUAGUCAUAAGUGAAGUGAAUAUGCUGAGUCUUUAUUCUCAAAGGGCAGCACCUACUUGGCUGUGGUUCAUUCCUGGAAAAAACAGGCACUUGAUGCCAGUCGUGAUGUAGGUGCACUGGCCAAGCUGUGGAGAGAUCCAGCACUGGAAGAGUAAAGGCUGCAUGAUGGUGGCUCAAUAUGAGGUGUAUGGCUUGGACCAGGCAGGGUUUCUCACGCACAUGUAAGGUGUUCUGGCAGAACUCAGUGAAGUUUGGAGGGAUGCAAGAGGCACAGUUUCAGGCUGAUCCUCUCAGUCUCUCACAAGCACUAAAAGUUACUACCAAGGCCUCCCUACCCCUCCCUGCUGUAAUAAAGAACAAGAGCUCUGGCUGGAUGUCUGAGUCGGGCAGCAGGAGUCUGAAGUUGUUUGGAUCCAGUCUCUUUAACAGUAGAGCUUUCAGGAUUAGUGUAAACAGAUUCACCACUGGAGAGCAGAUCAGAGAGAUCUAAGCAAAUCCAUGCACACGUGGUUAGAGAACCAGCUACGCUUUGCAAACUCCACACUGAGGAACUGGAACAUGUUUUUGAGUCUGGGGGCACAAAUCACCAUGUCUUUUUGUUGUGUGUUUCCACAGCACCUAGCAAAGUGAAAGCAUGAUUCUUAAUUUGCUCACAGAGGCACUACCACAGUAAACAAAGUAAAUAGCGAUCAUUUUCUAACAUUGAGUUCUCCACCUCCGGAAUACAUCAUGUUGGAUUGAAACAAAACCUGGAUCUUUUAUUUCUCUCAGGUCAAAUGUGUCAAAAAACUGCAAAGAGGGAGCUGUGCUAUAAAGCAUUUUGCAGGAGAUGGUAUUUCAAGCAUAGGUCUGAAAGUUAAGAGAUAAGGAUUUUCUUCCUUACUCUAUCACCAGUUUCAUGGACAAAUUACUUACCCUGGAUAUGCCUCCAUUAUUCUACCCAUAAAAGAAGGGAAAACUUCCUAAAUGUAAUUUGUUAUUUACAUGUAUGACAGUAAACCUCUGAAUUUCUAACUGAGAUCAAAGGUCCUUUGUGACAAGUGUUUUAAAAACUCAUUGCAGAUGCAGGCCCUGCCCCUUUACAGGAAAGACAGGUUGAGGCUGGGAGGAGAGAGACACCCAGGUACGUGUAAAAUGACCAGCCUGAGUUCAGAAACUAACCCAGAGCUUCUGUCUUUCCAUGAUUCCAGCACAGAUGCCAUACAUGUCGUCUCUGGCACCACCAUGCCUCUGCUGAAGCUAAGCUAAAGGAACAGAUACAACGUUCUGUCAGCAUAGCUGCAUCUAUAGCACUGGUCUUGCUGACCUUGUCAUAGCAGGUCUGUAGCAUGAGUUUCUCACAGUCCAAAACUAACUACACUAGCAAAGUUCUGUCCUGUACGCUAGAAGAGCUUAGAUAAUAAAACAAGUCUUUCAACAAUUGGCGUACUAUCCACUGAAUCACGUUGUUUCCCCCAAAGAAGCUGGGGUGAAUAGCCUUUUAAGACUGCAAACGAACAGCUCCUCUCCCCACUCCCCUAUCUUUCCACAGAAUUACCCUGACACUAUUCCACCAGUGACAGAAAGCAACGACUCUGUUGCUACCAAAUCGCUGAGCCUACUGAAAGACAGGGAAGGAGACCAAAGAGCCACACCACCACCUCCCGAGCCAGCCAGAUUCAUGCCUUCCCCUGUCUCUUUCACAGUCUCAGAGGACAUCAGGGCUGUCUAACAGCCAGGAUUCACUGGUUUUUGUCUUUUAUUCCUUGCCAGGUGUAGCCCAGCUCUGUGCUCACUGCAUGUGAACAGCCAGCCAUGCUGCCAAAGUCAUGCUCAGCAGGAUCAGUAUUGGAGGUAAUAGUAGCCUCAGGCCAGACUGCUUCAUUAUGAGAGAUAUUUUGACAGCCCAGCAGCAAGAGCUACAGCAGGGAGGGCACAGGUGGGUAUUCAGGGGAGGAGGGUUGGGAAGGAGGACACUGAAAAGGGCUUUGCCUCUGAAAAAGAAUGUCUUCUCAGGAACUACUGAGAUCCCACUGAUACAGAACACUGCCUUUUACACCAAUUAAUUGGAGUGAAAAAGGAACACCAUGUAACUCCUUGAGUUUUUUCUGUAUUUCUUGAAAGUAGUGACACGGUAGUAUGAGCUUACACAACAAACCUGAGCUGCAAAUCGCAUACAUCCCUCUCUAAUGCAGGCAUUUUGUCUGCUUCCAAGAGAACAGCCUGGGACAGUCAAUGGUGGUUCAAGACACUCCCUUCUCACCAAACUAUUUUCACAAAAUACCUCUUCCAAAUCACCCUCCCUACAAGUGCUUUGUAUAGCUAUGUGACCAGUCUAAGUAGAUCAGUACUCAAAAAAAUGGAGAAAUUAAAUGUUGGGGAGACAUGAAGGAAGUUUUAUCUGGGAGGCAAGGACUCUAAUUCUAACCUAGCUGCUUCAUUCUUCUAAAUAAUGAAUAACUUCCUGUCCAGGGAACACAUUUUCUGUUCUCUGCCUUGGUAUAGUGGUUAUGCUGUGCUGUAAACAGUCACCCGGCCUAUAGCCUAGAGACCUUUGUAUGCUGCUACACAAACUGUGCAGCAGGAAUCACCCUGUGACUGCACUGGGAGGCUGGCUGUGCACCCAGUGACCAUUUUCCUUUGUCUUGUGCUGUCAGGGGAUAUGGCACUGAAAAACCUAUCGAAUGAUAGGAGGACUGAUUCACCUCUCUUCCUUACUGGUUGAAGUUCAGGGAUGUUGCGAUAACUUAGAUCAGAAUCAGCCUUGAGAUCUCUACAAGAAGUUUAAAUUAAAAGGGUACAAUCCUAUUUCCGUUAAAACCAAUGGCAAAUUUUUACUGACUUCACACUUCAGUGUUCUAGUCCUCCAUAAUAUAGCAAGAAAUUGCCCCUCUCUGCAAAGGUUUUGGAAAACAACGAGCUUAGUUACACUCAAGUAAUGCCUCCAUGAUGUAAAAAAAGCACUUACAGAAAUCAUCAGUGGAGUAAGGCCUUAAGUGUCAGAGCUGCUGUUAUAGUAACCAUUCUAUCUGACUCUACUUCUAAGGCAAAAGCUGCCUUUUUUGCAGUUCCAGUCAUUGGACAGCUUCCCUGUGCUUCUCUCUGCAUUAACUAUAUUUCUUUGUGCAUAUUGCAAUUAAAAAUGCAUCUUUCUCUAUUGUCUAGUCUGCUUUCCUCAGAGGUUAUUUAUUGCCAAUUCCUAGCUGUUGUGAAAGACGAGAUAUCAGAGUUGUAAUGCAGAAGAAAGCUCCAUCAGAUUCUCUCUUUUUCCUAAAGCCUUUGUUUGUGCUACUCUGCUCCACUGCUACAAAAAACUCACUGUAUUGGUGAAAUGAUGGUCACCUUGUAUUAAUCUAAAGCUUGGCUGUGUCCCAACACUUGUGUAUCAUUCUUUGCUACUCCACUUCCCUAACUUCCUGCCCGCCUUCCCUCCUACAAUCAUAGUAACAAAAAGAUACACUGAAAAACUGACUAUCCAAGAAUCUGGGUAUGGCUGGAAUCUAUUGUUGGAUUAAAAAAAAAAAUAAUGGUGACCAUUGAAAAGAAGAUGGCAUGACGUGUGCCAUCCCAAUGUCAAACAGUGCCAUAAAAGAAUAAGCCAGGGGUCUCUCCCUUAAUUCACAAGUGUCUACAAGCACGUGUGCACAAACAGAGCACUUCUUUUCAGUUAGGCGGAUGAACCUUGUUAGCUAAUCCUUUGGAAGUAAUGAGUCUGGUGUAAUCAAGGUGUGACUGCUUUUAAUACAUGCUAGAAAGAUCAAAUUAAAGACUAGGUAGAACCUGCCUUGACCAAUUUAGGAGGUGCUGAAGUACACACUACCUGAGGUUGCUUACAGUUUUUGAAUACAUUAAUUAGAGCUAACAUGUUCUAAAGUCUUUAAAUCAUUGGGCAUCUCUGCAGACAGGUUUUGUAUUGUUCUAUUUCUCCUCCUUUCUAGAAAUUGAUAUAGCAGUCAAUGCCCUAGUAAUGAUGGGAUUAGCAUACAUCACUACAUCACCUCUCCACUGGUAUAGUCACGCAAAUUCCAUUAGGAAUGUUUCUGAACAAUUAUUGUUACAGCAAUGUGAAACUUUAUGUAUAGAUAGGCCCUAGCCAGGGCUAUGUCUCUACUGCAGUUCCAGAUAUGGCUGCAGCAAGUGUCCAUCUGCCAUAGCCAAAUGUUACUAAAUGAACACUGGUACUCUGAGAAGACAUCACACAGGAGCUCCAUCAACACGGACCUACGUUUCUGUAGGGAAUUCUCACUGAAGUUUGUGCUGCUGUGCUUUCUCUGCAACUGUUUCAUGGACUAUCUAGGCCAACACCAGUACAGGAAGGCAGUCAUAACUUCAGUGUCACUGUGACCAGAACUCUUACAUGGUCUCUUCUACAUGUACAUUGUAUUUGAACUAAACAUACCCAAAGCCAUACCUACGGUUGCCGGCAUAAGCAGAGUCUCCAGUGAACCCACAGAGACAAACACACAUAAAUGACUUUGUACUCACUCCUCACUGCGUCUCCAUCGUUAUGAAUAAAUGCUGGGUCAGGACCACAUGAA